ensembl:snoRNA Gm22299 small nucleolar RNA SNORA2/SNORA34 family
UUGACCCUUAAUCAAGGCCAGCAGUUUGCUGAAGCUGUUGGUUUCAAGCAGGCACCUAAAUAAAUGUCUUUUUAGGUCUGUUGGCCAUUUCAGAAAUUUAAAAAUGUAAUGGUCGCUGGGUGUGGUGGCACGCACC